rnacentral:rRNA from 1 species
UACGGGGGAUGCAAGCGUUAUCCGGAUUUAUUGGGUUUAAAGGGUGCGUAGGCUGUGAGGUAAGUCAGCGGUGAAAUGCCCCCGCUCAACGGGGUGAAGUGCCAUUGAUACUGCCUUACUGGAAUGCGGAUGCCGUGGGAGGAAUGUGUGGUGUAGCGGUGAAAUGCAUAGAUAUCACACAGAACACCGAUUGCGAAGGCAUCUCACGAAUCCGCGAUUGACGCUGAUGCACGAAAGCGUGGGUAUCAAACAGG